GUUUUAGGCCUGCGUUUCUUUAUCCUCAUAAGCUGGUCGCUGCAAGUGAAAUCUUACUUCGAAGCCAAAUAUAUUAAACGGGUUCAAUCCCUGGUCGGGGGACUAAGAUCCCACAAGCUGCACGGCAUGCCCAAAAAAAUAAAAUGAAAAUGAAACUUGAAUCAGACCUCUGAAGCUUCUGCCAGGGAGAAAUCAAGAAAAACCUACCAGUUCCAUGGAAUGUUGUGCCAACAACACGAACACAGCUUGGUACUCGAAGAUCCCAGAACCUAACAGUCUUAUCUUGGGAACCAGAUGCAAUC